GACGGGUGACCUCCGGCUCUGAGGCUGCUGCGGCGCCGCGGGCGGCGGGGGCUGCUGCUGCUGAGAUUCAUGAACAGUGAGAUUCGAGACUGAAACUGACCUACUAAAUUGGAGUCCUACAUGCUGCAACAUCGCCUUGCUAGUCUGGUCAUGGGUGGAGCCCUGGGGUGCAUGUGGGAUAUAGAGGCACUGGGCAUGCAAAGAAGAAGACAGAGUAUAAAGAAGUCUACUGAAGCAGG